rnacentral:rRNA from 1 species
GAUGAACGCUGGCGGCGUGCCUAAUACAUGCAAGUCGAGCGAACAGACGAGGAGCUUGCUCCUCUGACGUUAGCGGCGGACGGGUGAGUAACACGUGGAUAACCUACCUAUAAGACUUGGAUAACUUCGGGAAACCGGAGCUAAUACCGGAUAAUAUAUUGAACCGCAUGGUUCAAUAGUGAAAGACGGUUUUGCUGUCACUUAUAGAUGGAUCCGCGCCGCAUUAGCUAGUUGGUAAGGUAACGGCUUACCAAGGCGACGAUGCGUAGCCGACCUGAGAGGGUGAUCGGCCACACUGGAACUGAGACACGGUCCAGACUCCUACGGGAGGCAGCAGUAGGGAAUCUUCCGCAAUGGGCGAAAGCUUGACGGAGCAACGCCGCGUGAGUGAUGAAGGUCUUCGGAUCGUAAAACUCUGUUAUUAGGGAAGAACAAAUGUGUAAGUAACUAUGCACGUCUUGACGGUACCUAAUCAGAAAGCCACGGCUAACUACGUG